rnacentral:rRNA from 1 species
AUUGAACGCUGGCGGAAUGCUUUACACAUGCAAGUCGAACGGCAGCACGGACUUCGGUCUGGUGGCGAGUGGCGAACGGGGGAGUAAUGUAUCGGAACGUGCCCAGUCGUGGGGGAUAACGUAGUGAAAAUUACGCUAAUACAGCAUACGAUCUAUGGAUGAAAGCGGGGGAUCGAAAGACCCCGAGCGGUUGGAGCGGCCGAUAUCAGAUUAGGUAGUUGGUGGGGUAAAGGCCCACCAAGCCAACGAUCUGUAGCUGGUCUGAGAGGACGACCAGCCACACUGGAACUGAGACACGGUCCAGACUCCUACGGGAGGCAGCAGUGGGGAAUUUUGGACAAUGGGCGAAAGCCUGAUCCAGCCAUUCCGCGUGCAGGAUGAGGGCCCUCGGGUUGUAAACUGCUUUUGUACAGAACGAAAAGGUUUCUACUAAUACUAGGAGCUCAUGACGGUACUGUAAGAAUAAGCACCGGCUAACUACGUGCCAGCCGCCGCAGUAA